rnacentral:sRNA from 1 species
UUUUGGAAAGACAUAUAUCAAUGACAUCUUCUUAUUAUAUAAAGUACGGUUUUGAAAGUUACUAACUCACGAGAUCAUAACACAUGGUUAUUUGAACGAUCUAAGAUUUUGACAUGUGUUUGAUUUUUUU